rnacentral:rRNA from 1 species
AUCCCCGACCAUACCAUGCUGAAUACGCCGGUUCUCGUCCGAUCACCGAAGCUAAGCAGCAUCGGGCUCCGUCAGUACUUCGGAGGGUGACAGGCAAC